UGUCUGCAGGACUUCUUCGUUGCAGUUGAAGUAGGUUGAAUGUUCGAUGGUUUGCUGUGCCAUUUAACUCUUCUCCCCUCUUUUGGCUCCACAAAUUUGGCCUGAAUGGUCAACAUUCAUCCUACCAAAAGAAGCAAAAAUUGCAACUAGCCAUCCAUCUAAUCUUCAUCACCAACAACGCAACCUACUUUUCAAAGUUUGCUGACUCCUAGCCUUCGGGGCGAAAGACUACCCAGUGUCAAGCUAAAAGUAAUGAACGGUAUGAAAUCCACCCGACGUGACAACCUAAUCCAUUCUAAUUAUCUAAGUUAUAAAGAGGGAUUCCCUAGUUUUCAGACUUCACUUUGGAUCCAACCCACCCACAGUGAUAUGCAGUAUUUUUCAACAAAAUGUGCUAUUCAUUAAAGCUAGGCUACAUGGAAAGGCCAAAGUGGACCAAAUCCGGCUUGUUUCACUUUUGUUGCUAUUGAAGACGAUGGCACAUGAAGAUAAAUCUCUGACAAACCCACCUAACUCUUUGCUCUUCUUCUUGUCUUGAUCAAACAAUUAUAGAGCAAGUGACUGUAAGAUUACCUGCUCCCGACGCUCCAACUCAUAGGCCCGAUGAAAGGACAAAUCACCCAGGGAACGGUGUGACCGAGCUGGAGAGAGAGGGAGAGAGACGUUAGUUGCUCCAGAGAGGGGAGACAUAGGAGGGGGAUUGCUGCAUAACGAGGAAGAUUGCGCGCUCGAUUUCAACUUCGGCUGAUGUAAUGGCGGUUUUUAU
rnacentral:lncRNA from 1 species